ACCCACAGCAACCAUGACUUUGAUCAGCGUCUUCAUCUGCACACUGGCCCUCUGGACUCAAGGAUCCAGAGGUCAGGUGACUGUGACUCAGACUCCUUCAGUGCAAACUGUUGCUCCAGGAAACACAGUCACCAUCAACUGUAAAACCAGUAGCGGAGUGUAUGAUGAUAAGACUCUCGCCUGGUACCUGCAGAAACCUGGAGAAGCUCCUAAACUCCUGAUCUACUAUGCUACUAGCAGACAGUCAGGGAUUCCAGCUCGUUUCAUUGGCAGUGGAUCUGAUACUGACUUCACUCUGACCAUCAGGGGAGUUCAGACUGAAGAUACAGGAGAUUACUACUGUCAGAGUGUACAUAAUGUGGGUAGCUUUUUCAGUCCUAACUCUGUGUUCACACAGUGUUAGAGCGUCGUACAAAAACCUCGGUCAGUGAGACUGCACAGAGAAACACUGCUGCAGCUGGGAGUGAC